UCGACGAUGAAUCUUCUAGCUUGCUAGAAGUGGAUUAGUGGCGCACGGGUGAGUAAUGCAUAGGUUAUGUGCCCUUUAGUCUGGGAUAGCCACUGGAAACGGUGAUUAAUACUGGAUACUCCCUACGGGGGAAAGUUUUUCGCUAAAGGAUCAGCCUAUGUCCUAUCAGCUUGUUGGUGAGGUAAUGGCUCACCAAGGCUAUGACGGGUAUCCGGCCUGAGAGGGUGAUCGGACACACUGGAACUGAGACACGGUCCAGACUCCUACGGGAGGCAGCAGUAGGGAAUAUUGCUCAAUGGGGGAAACCCUGAAGCAGCAACGCCGCGUGGAGGAUGAAGGUUUUAGGAUUGUAAACUCCUUUUGUUAGAGAAGAUUAUGACGGUAUCUAACGAAUAAGCACCGGCUAACUCCGUGCCAGCAGCCGCGGUAAUACGGAGGGUGCAAGCGUUACUCGGAAUCACUGGGCGUAAAGAGUGCGUAGGCGGGGUAAUAAGUCAGAUGUGAAAUCCUGUAGCUUAACUACAGAACUGCAUUUGAAACUGUUACUCUGGAGUGUGGGAGAGGUAGGUGGAAUUCUUGGUGUAGGGGUAAAAUCCGUAGAGAUCAAGAGGAAUACUCAUUGCGAAGGCGACCUGCUGGAACAUUACUGACGCUGAUGCACGAAAGCGUGGGGAGCAAACAGGAUUAGAUACCCUGGUAGUCCACGCCCUAAACGAUGGAUGCUAGUUGUUGCCUUGCUUGUCAGGGCAGUAAUGCAGCUAACGCAUUAAGCAUCCCGCCUGGGGAGUACGGUCGCAAGAUUAAAACUCAAAGGAAUAGACGGGGACCCGCACAAGCGGUGGAGCAUGUGGUUUAAUUCGAAGAUACGCGAAGAACCUUACCUAGGCUUGACAUUGAU
rnacentral:rRNA from 1 species